rfam:Phytophthora infestans T30-4 supercont1.16 genomic scaffold, whole genome shotgun sequence.
GAUGGCGUAGCUAAGUGGAAGAGCACAGGGCUGUGCCUUGGGGCUGCUAAUUCGAAUCCAGCCGUCGCCA